GAUUUGACAACGAAAAAGGAAAGUGAUUCAAAUUCUUCAGAGUCAACACAAGAAAACAAAAUCAUCUCAUUUGGAUCUGGCAAUACCUCAGACUUGUCAUUUGCAGAUCUGGCUUCCAGAAACUCUGGAGACUUUGCUUUUGGGUCAAAAG